rnacentral:rRNA from 1 species
GUUUACGGCCAUACCAGCCUGGGUACGCCCGAUCUCGUCUGAUCUCGGAAGCUAAGCAGGGUCGGGCCUGGUUAGUACUUGGUGGGAGACCGCCUGGGAAUACCAGGUGCUGUAAGCU